rnacentral:rRNA from 1 species
UUAAUUUGAGAGUUUGAUCCUGGCUCAGGAUAAACGCUGGCGGCGCACAUAAGACAUGCAAGUCGAACGAACUUAAUUGAGAGCUUGCUCUCAAAGCGGUUAGUGGCGGACUGGUGAGUAACACGUAAGCAACCUGCCUAUUAGAGGGGAAUAACAGCGAGAAAUCGUUGCUAAUACCGCAUAUGCUGCGAGUAUCGCAUGAUACAAGCAGGAAAGGAGCAAUCCGCUAAUAGAUGGGCUUGCGUCUGAUUAGUUAGUUGGUGGGGUAACGGCCUACCAAGACGAUGAUCAGUAGCCGGACUGAGAGGUUGAACGGCCACAUUGGGACUGAGAUACGGCCCAGACUCCUACGGGAGGCAGCAGUCGGGAAUAUUGCGCAAUGGAGGAAACUCUGACGCAGUGACGCCGCGUGCAGGAAGAAGGUUUUCGGAUUGUAAACUGCUUUUAACAGGAAAGAAAAAAAUGACGGUACCUGUUGAAUAAGCUCCGGCUAACUACGUGCCAGCAGCCGCGGUAAUACGUAGGGAGCGAGCGUUAUCCGGAUUUAUUGGGUGUAAAGGGUGCGUAGACGGAAAUGCAAGUUAGUUGUGAAAUACCUCGGCUUAACUGAGGAACUGCAACUAAAACUAUAUUUCUUGAGUAUCGGAGGGGUUUGUGGAAUUCCUAGUGUAGCGGUGAAAUGCGUAGAUAUUAGGAAGAACACCGGUGGCGAAGGCGACAAACUGGACGAUAACUGACGUUGAGGCACGAAAGUGUGGGGAGCAAACAGGAUUAGAUACCCUGGUAGUCCACGCCGUAAACGAUGGAUACUAGGUGUUGGCAAUGAAUAAUUGUCGGUGCCGGCGCUAACGCAAUAAGUAUCCCACCUGGGGAGUACGACCGCAAGGUUGAAACUCAAAGGAAUUGACGGGGGCCCGCA